rnacentral:miRNA from 1 species
UAUUCAGAGUGGUAGCAGU